CCUGCUCUCUUGGCGCUGCAGCUGAGGGUCACGUGGCAGCUGCUCCACCAGGGCUCUAUGAAUGACCGCUUGCUCCCAGCUCCCAAGAUGCUUCCAGGCUCUUCCUUCCUGGUUGUGGAUGCAGAGCUGGAAAUAUUCCCUCUGUUGUAAGUCCCCUUCCCUAGGAGCUGUCCUCACCGGAGCUUGACAGAGCCGAGCUUGAGUUCUGAGAGCAAGGUAGUAUGACACUAAGACACUAAGAAGAGAGAAGUGAAUUUCUUGUUACUUGCUCUUCCAUCUUUUCUGCACCUCAGCACUCAGUGGCCCUCAUUCUUGCCUUCAGAUGAAGAUGUUGAACUCUCAGCUCCUCCUUCACCAUGCCUGCCUGGAUGAUGCCAUGUUCCUGCCUUGAUGAUACUGGACUGAACCUCUGAACCUGACUGAGUCACUGGAGCAUCUAUCUGCACGCUGCGGUUUCGACUUUCCCCCAAGUGCAUAGCGAGAGUCCUGACGUUGCUACGGAAGUCAAGGAAAAGCCUUCUGCCUCCUCAGGCCUUCUUGC
ensembl:processed_transcript 1810059H22Rik RIKEN cDNA 1810059H22 gene